GCCAGUAUGGCGUAAUGGUUUCAGUGUUAGACUACAACUCUGAUGCCCAGGAUUCAAUUCCCAGCUUGGCU